rnacentral:snRNA from 1 species
GGAUGUGGGGCUGAUCUGGCUGUGACAUCUGUCACUCCAUUGAUUACCAGAGUUGAUCUGCUGACCUGGCUGGCUAGGCAGGUGUCCCCUUCCUCCCUCACCAUCCUGUAUGCUCUGUCGGAGGUUGGCCUUCCUUGACAGAAGAGGACUAGUCUUUGUCAUGGGCAGAUGAGGAGCUUCAGUCCCUUGCUGGAAGCCCCAAAUUAGUCUCCAAAGUCCAUUUGUAGGACAGAGGGAAGUUAGGCCUCCAAGACUCCAGGCACACCAGAUGAGGCGCUGCAUGUGACUGUCUGGUCUUCUUU